CGGUUCCUAGCUCAGUUGGUAGAGCAUCUGACUCUUAAUCAGAGGGUCGUGGGUUCGAAACCCACGGGACCGA
rnacentral:tRNA from 1 species